rnacentral:lncRNA from 1 species
UGUUCCUGAAUAAGUGUGAUGUUGUUCAUCUGCAGGUGUGUUCUCAGCCAGUGCGGAUCAGUUCAGCUGCAGGAUGUCAGAGGAGCGAGGAACAGAGACCCGUCUCUCACAGAAACACAGGUGACACUGAGGCACUUUAAACACUGCUCCAGCUUCAGAUUUAUCCUCUCUACAAUAAAAUCUUAUGCAUUGAUUUAGAUUUGCAAAUUCUACUUUUUAAACUUUUAAACUACCUACAUGUUUUUACAUAGUCACAGAUUAAAACAAAAUUAUUAGAAUUAAUUAAUACAUAUUCAAAAUUUAGGUAUUAAGUAUUGUGCAGAUUCCACAGUCAGUGUUUCCCGCUCAUGUGUUCUGUGUCAUUAGUGUAAGAUCAGGAUCACGUGUGUCCAGCUCUGUGUCUGUGAAGAGUGACUGCUCAAGAGAUGAAGGACCAAGCUUCAGUGAGAAAACUCCAUCAUCUGCCAAAAGGUAUUUCAUGUGCAAUACUAAUUUCUAAAAUUAAUAUUAAAAUGGUUACAUUUAGGACAAGUAUUGUGCAGAUUCCACAGUCAGUGUUUCCCGCUCAUGUGUUCUGUGUCAUUAGUGUAAGAUCAGGAUCACGUGUGUCCAGCUCUGUGUCUGUGAAGAGUGACUGCUCAAGAGAUGAAGGACCAAGCUUCAGUGAGAAAACUCCAUCAUCUGCCAAAAGUGUUCAACGUAAGACAAUACAUUCAGAUGUUCAGGCUCACGGGAACCACAAGGUUUUCAAAGAAAAUCUCCCAUGUAUAUUCAAGGUAAGAAAAGCACUUUUCAUAAAUGUUUAAUAUUUGUAUCUUAA